GAUGAACGCUGGCGGCGUGCCUAAUACAUGCAAGUCGAGCGAACAGACGAGGAGCUUGCUCCUCUGACGUUAGCGGCGGACGGGUGAGUAACACGUGGAUAACCUACCUAUAAGACUGGGAUAACUUCGGGAAACCGGAGCUAAUGCCGGAUAAUAUAUUUAACCGCAUGGUUCAAUAGUGAAAGACGGGUUUGCUGUCACUUAUAGAUGGAUCCGCGCCGCAUUAGCUAGUUGGUAAGGUAACGGCUUACCAAGGCAACGAUGCGUAGCCGACCUGAGAGGGUGAUCGGCCACACUGGAACUGAGACACGGUCCAGACUCCUACGGGAGGCAGCAGUAGGGAAUCUUCCGCAAUGGGCGAAAGCCUGACGGAGCAACGCCGCGUGAGUGAUGAAGGUCUUCGGAUCGUAAAACUCUGUUAUUAGGGAAGAACAAAUGUGUAAGUAACUAUGCACGUCUUGACGGUACCUAAUCAGAAAGCCACGGCUAACUACGUG
rnacentral:rRNA from 1 species